rnacentral:rRNA from 1 species
AGAUUGAACGCUGGCGGCAGGCCUAACACAUGCAAGUCGAACGGUAACAGGAAGCAGCUUGCUGCUUUGCUGACGAGUGGCGGACGGGUGAGUAAUGUCUGGGAAACUGCCUGAUGGAGGGGGAUAACUACUGGAAACGGUGGCUAAUACCGCAUAACGUCGCAAGACCAAAGAGGGGGACCUUCGGGCCUCUUGCCAUCAGAUGUGCCCAGAUGGGAUUAGCUUGUUGGUGAGGUAACGGCUCACCAAGGCGACGAUCCCUAGCUGGUCUGAGAGGAUGACCAGCCACACUGGAACUGAGACACGGUCCAGACUCCUACGGGAGGCAGCAGUGGGGAAUAUUGCACAAUGGGCGCAAGCCUGAUGCAGCCAUGCCGCGUGUAUGAAGAAGGCCUUCGGGUUGUAAAGUACUUUCAGCGGGGAGGAAGGUGUUGUGGUUAAUAACCGCAGCAAUUGACGUUACCCGCAGAAGAAGCACCGGCUAACUCCGUGCCAGCAGCCGCGGUAAUACGGAGGGUGCAAGCGUUAAUCGGAAUUACUGGGCGUAAAGCGCACGCAGGCGGUCUGUCAAGUCGGAUGUGAAAUCCCCGGGCUCAACCUGGGAACUGCAUUCGAAACUGGCAGGCUUGAGUCUUGUAGAGGGGGGUAGAAUUCCAGGUGUAGCGGUGAAAUGCGUAGAGAUCUGGAGGAAUACCGGUGGCGAAGGCGGCCCCCUGGACAAAGACUGACGCUCAGGUGCGAAAGCGUGGGGAGCAAACAGGAUUAGAUACCCUGGUAGUCCACGCCGUAAACGAUGUCUACUUGGAGGUUGUGCCCUUGAGGCGUGGCUUCCGGAGCUAACGCGUUAAGUAGACCGCCUGGGGAGUACGGCCGCAAGGUUAAAACUCAAAUGAAUUGACGGGGGCCCGCACAAGCGGUGGAGCAUGUGGUUUAAUUCGAUGCAACGCGAAGAACCUUACCUGGUCUUGACAUCCACGGAAGUUUUCAGAGAUGAGAAUGUGCCUUCGGGAACCGUGAGACAGGUGCUGCAUGGCUGUCGUCAGCUCGUGUUGUGAAAUGUUGGGUUAAGUCCCGCAACGAGCGCAACCCUUAUCCUUUGUUGCCAGCGGUCCGGCCGGGAACUCAAAGGAGACUGCCAGUGAUAAACUGGAGGAAGGUGGGGAUGACGUCAAGUCAUCAUGGCCCUUACGACCAGGGCUACACACGUGCUACAAUGGCGCAUACAAAGAGAAGCGACCUCGCGAGAGCAAGCGGACCUCAUAAAGUGCGUCGUAGUCCGGAUUGGAGUCUGCAACUCGACUCCAUGAAGUCGGAAUCGCUAGUAAUCGUGGAUCAGAAUGCCACGGUGAAUACGUUCCCGGGCCUUGUACACACCGCCCGUCACACCAUGGGAGUGGGUUGCAAAAGAAGUAGGUAGCUUAACCUUCGGGAGGGCGCUUACCACUUUGUGAUUCAUGACUGGGG